rnacentral:rRNA from 1 species
AUUGAACGCUGGCGGCAUGCCUUACACAUGCAAGUCGAACGGUAACAGGUCUUCGGAUGCUGACGAGUGGCGAACGGGUGAGUAAUACAUCGGAACGUGCCUAGUAGUGGGGGAUAACUACUCGAAAGAGUGGCUAAUACCGCAUGAGAUCUACGGAUGAAAGCAGGGGAUCGCAAGACCUUGUGCUACUAGAGCGGCCGAUGGCAGAUUAGGUAGGUGGUGGGAUAAAAGCUUACCAAGCCGACGAUCUGUAGCUGGUCUGAGAGGACGAUCAGCCACACUGGGGCUGAGACACGGCCCAGACUCCUACGGGAGGCAGAAGUGGGGAAUUUUGGACAAUGGGCGCAAGCCUGAUCCAGCAAUGCCGCGUGCAGGAUGAAGGCCUUCGGGUUGUAAACUGCUUUUGUACGGAACGAAAAGCCCUGGGUUAAUACCCUGGGGUCAUGACGGUACCGUAAGAAUAAGCACCGGCUAACUACGUGCCAGCAGCCGCCGUAAUAC